GAGAGUGUGGCCUCUCGGAAUCGGGUUGCAGGACCGGGUUUCAAACAGCGUCGAGCUGCUUAGGUAAAGAGCCUUGGUAGUGAGCGUCGGCGAAAAGGCGUUGUGGAAAACGUCAUG
rfam:Magnetococcus sp. MC-1, complete genome.